GGGUUUAACUCCUGCUUGUUACCGUUUCAUCCAGCCGGAGCCGGAUGUCGUUUUGGUGUCUGAUUCGGUAAGGAACCGGGAGCACCAUCUGCGUAGGCUUGUGGUUUAAGACUUGCGUCGCCUACGGUCUUGGACAGCCCCCGCCAGGCAGGGACCCCAAUUUUUGAGUGGCGCGGCAUGCCGCGCCA
rnacentral:sRNA from 1 species